rnacentral:rRNA from 1 species
CCUACGGGUGGCAGCAGUGAGGAAUAUUGGUCAAUGGCCGGAAGGCUGAACCAGCCAAGCCGCGUGAAGGACGAAGGUGCCAAGCAUUGUAAACUUCUUUUGUCAAGGGACAAAAUCAGGCUCGCGAGCCUGACCGAGGGUACUUGAAGAAAAAGCAUCGGCUAACUCCGUGCCAGCAGCCGCGGUAAUACGGAGGAUGCGAGCGUUAUCCGGAUUCACUGGGUGUAAAGGGAGCGUAGACGGCGAGACAAGUCUGGAGUGAAAGGCCGGGGCCCAACCCCGGGACUGCUCUGGAAACUGCCUGGCUGGAGUACAGGAGAGGUAAGUGGAAUUCCUAGUGUAGCGGUGAAAUGCGUAGAUAUUAGGAGGAACACCAGUGGCGAAGGCGGUCUGCUGGACAGCAACUGACGCUGAGGCGCGAAAGCGUGGGGAGCAAACAGGAUUAGAUACCCGAGUAGUC